rnacentral:snRNA from 1 species
GGAUGUGAGCUUGAUCUGGCUGCAACAUCUGUCACCUCAUUGAUUACCAGGGUUGAUUCAGCUGAUCUGCCUGGCUGGGGGGGUGUCCCCUAACUCCCUCAAUGAUCCAUUUGCAUCCCUCCUGAAGCUGAGUACUCGGUCGAAGAGGCUGACCACCCCCAAUAGAGGAGGACCAUUCCUUGGUCAAGGGUAUACAAGUAGCUGCACCCCCCUGCUAGAACCUCCAAACAAGCUCUCAAGGAAAUAAAAUCCAACAAUAUGCUGUAUAAAAGAAACACGUUUAACUCAUAAAGACAUUCAUAGGCUGAAAGUCA